rnacentral:rRNA from 1 species
UUCUUAGUGGCGAACGGGUGAGUAACGCGUGGGCAACCUGCCCUCUAGAUGGGGACAACAUCCCGAAAGGGGUGCUAAUACCGAAUGUGACAGCAAUCUCGCAUGAGGAUGCUGUGAAAGAUGGCCUCUAUUUAUAAGCUAUCGCUAGAGGAUGGGCCUGCGUCUGAUUAGCUAGUUGGUGGGGUAACGGCCUACCAAGGCGAUGAUCAAUAGCCGGUCUGAGAGGAUGAACGGCCACAUUGGGACUGAGACACGGCCCAGACUCCUACGGGAGGCAGCAGUGGGGAAUCUUCCGCAAUGGGCGAAAGCCUGACGGAGCAAUGCCGCGUGAGUGAUGAAGGAAUUCGUUCCGUAAAGCUCUUUUGUUUAUGACGAAUGUGCAGAUUGUAAAUAAUGAUCUGUAAUGACGGUAGUAAACGAAUAAGCCACGGCUAACUACGUGCCAGCAGCCGCGGUAAUACGUAGGUGGCGAGCGUUGUCCGGAAUUAUUGGGCGUAAAGAGCAUGUAGGCGGUUUUUUAAGUCUGGAGUGAAAAUGCGGGGCUCAACCCCGUAUGGCUCUGGAUACUGGAAGACUUGAGUGCAGGAGAGGAAAGGGGAAUUCCCAGUGUAGCGGUGAAAUGCGUAGA